rnacentral:piRNA from 1 species
UGUAUGUUUUGUCCAGUGCAGGUGUCCUC